UUUAUAAAUAUAUCAUGAAAAAAUAAAACCUGUUCAGAAAGACGCAGGAAAUUCUCGACCAUUUCAUUGAUUGUGUUUGAGCAAGAUGUCUGCUCACAAAACAUUUAUUAUCAAGCGGAAGCUUGCCAAAAAGUUAAAGCAAAACAGGCCGAUUCCACAAUGGGUCAGAAUGCGUACUGGCAACACUAUCCGGUACAACGCCAAACGGCGUCACUGGAGAAGAACUAAGUUGAAGUUGUAAAAUGAAUUUGAUAUGUAUUUGCCUUUUUGAUUGCUAUUAUACAUUAAUCGUUUAUUCUUAAAUAAACUCUAACUUUAACAUGUAAA